UCUCUUGUAUAAAUAAAAGUGGAUUGUUUUUAAAAGUUACUCGUAUUUUAAGAAAAUAUUCAACAUGAAAGCUAGGCCUUUUUCCUACACAUACCUCGUUUUAUUUUGGUCCUUAUGUCAAAUAAGGUGAUUCCAUUAACCUGUAAUUUACUUUACAUUACUAAUGUAUGGUUUCUACAUUAUCUUGCAUUGCUGAGAAACAAGACAUGGGUUCAUCCGCUUCUACUUCUACAAGAAUAAUGCCACAACAUUUGAACAAGCGUAUUCUGUUUCUUAGGUAGUCUAUUGGUAGUCUUUUGAGUUUUGAGAUCAUUUGCAUUAAUUAAUACGGAGCAUACAACAAUGCAUAUUGGGCUUAUGCUAUUUUGUCUAUUUGUUCAAUAAUGCGUCAGAUUUAGAUAUACAUAUGAUUUUCUCCAUCUGUAAACAGAAAAUUUUAUGAUUAUUACAAUCCAUUACAUACAAAACCAAACUUUGCUUAUUUAUUGAACCCAGUGGUUGAUGUUAUGUAUUAUUCCAAUAUGCCAACGUUUUUGUAUGAUUAACAUUUGUCUGCUUUAUUCUUCGAAUGCAUGUUGGGCUAUGUUUGUUGGUGGUUUCAGGGUUAGUUACAAUUUAGUCUGCUUUCUUCUUCGGUUGGCAGAAAGAAGAUGUACUUCAAUCCAAUCUCUUCAUGAUCUUAUUACUUCAAAGAGGACGAUCAUGUUCAAGUAAAUUGUGCGAGCUUUGUGAAGAAAUGAGGAGGGGUAGACUUGCCAAAGAUGCUAAUUAGAGGGCUGAGCUUGCCUUUAGCAAGUACAUGCUUUAAAAGAAGCUUUGGAUGUUGAUGAUCUUGAGCUGACCAGAAGAUUUAAUGCGGUUGGUACAACUGUUUAUAUGGAGGUUAGUUACUCUUCCUGCUGGAAAACUAUGCGAGAUGUCAAUUUGCAUUUAGCGUUAGUGAUCCAUGCAGCUACACUCAACUAAAGAAGAAUGGAGACAAGCAAUAAUUGAGGAAAUAACAUCAAUAAUUGAGAAGAACAAUACAUAGAGGAUGGUUAAUUUGCAAGAAAUGGGUACAUGAGAAACAGCAAUGAGCCAACUUUAUGUGUGAAACAAGGUGACUCAACAGGACAACAACACUAAUCCUUUAUAUAUGUAUGUACCGGUUCUUGUGUAAAGAUAAUUGCAGAAUGUAACGAGGCAUGAAAGAAAUGUUUGGGACGACUGGCAUGGGGCUACUGCAAUACUUCUCGGGCAUGGAGGCAGUCAAUCAGAUCAGGCGAUUUUUGUGAGUCAAAAAAACUUUGCAAAUUCACUGCUUGAUAAGUUCUGGUUACAGAUGAUGUUCUUAAGAUUCCAUAUGAAAGAUAUUAAGCAGAAGAGGGUGAAGCCAAAGUUGAUGUAACUAUAUUUAGAAGUCUUGUUGGUGGUUCAAUCUAUUUGAGCCACACUAGACCCGAUCCUGCCUAUGCAGUUGGGGUGUUGUCUAGAUUUAUGCAGUCUCCUUCAAAGUGUCAUCUGGGUGCUGCAAAGAAAGUAUUGAAGUAUGUUGCAAGAAUAGGUUGCUUUGGUAUGGAUUAAAUUUAACUAUCCACUGAUAAUUGGCCCAUUUUUUU